UGCCUCAGCUGGGAGUCACGUCCUUUCCCCUUUCCGGUUCUACCCUCCUGAAAUGGAGGUGAGAUGGCAGAAGUCAGAGCAAGCACUGUGGGACCUUGGGAAAAAAAGUCAAGAGAAUCUCAGUUAUCUCAAGGACCAAAGCUAUUUGAAUCACAACUGGAAACUACCGAGGGAUUGUUCCUUCUCUGGGCUCCAGUGAAAGGCAGUGGUCAUCCUUGUCAUUCAGUAAAGGAUGGCACAGCACGCCACAGACUACGAG
ensembl:lncRNA